AGCAGUAGCCGCGGGAAAACGUAGGUGGCAAGCGUUGUCCGGAAUUAUUGGGCGUAAAGGGCUCGCAGGCGGUUUCUUAAGUCUGAUGUGAAAGCCCCCGGCUCAACCGGGGAGGGUCAUUGGAAACUGGGAAACUUGAGUGCAGAAGAGGAGAGUGGAAUUCCACGUGUAGCGGUGAAAUGCGUAGAGAUGUGGAGGAACACCAGUGGCGAAGGCGACUCUCUGGUCUGUAACUGACGCUGAGGAGCGAAAGCGUGGGGAGCGAACAGGAUUAGAUACCCGCGUAGUCCCUGUCUCUUAUAC
rnacentral:rRNA from 1 species